rnacentral:rRNA from 1 species
AGAGUUUGAUCCUGGCUCAGAACGAACGUUGGCGGCGUGGAUUAGGCAUGCAAGUCGAACGCGAAUCCCUGGGCAACUGGGGAGGAGAGUGGCGAAAGGGGCAGUAAGGCGUGGGUAACCUACCCUCCGGGCCGGGAUAGCUUCGGGAAACUGAAGGUAAUACCGGGCGACGCAGCGAGAUCGCAUGGUCUUGCUGCCAAAGGUCCGCCGCCGGGGGAGGGGCUCACGUGGUAUUAGCUAGACGGCGGGGUAACGGCCCACCGUGGCAAAGAUGCCUAGCAGGUGUGAGAGCACGACCUACGCCACUGGCACUGAGACACUGGCCAGACACCUACGGGUGGCUGCAGUCGAGGAUCUUCGGCAAUGGGCGCAAGCCUGACCGAGCGACGCCGCGUGUGCGAUGAAGGCCUUCGGGUUGUAAAGCACUGUCGAGGGGGAGGAAGCCGCAAGGUUGACCUAUCCCUGGAGGAAGCACGGGCUAAGUUCGUGCCAGCAGCCGCGGUAAUAC